rnacentral:rRNA from 1 species
UUCAACGGAGAGUUUGAUCCUGGCUCAGGAUGAACGCUGGCGGCGUGCUUAACACAUGCAAGUCGAACGAUGAUGCCCACUUGUGGGUGGAUUAGUGGCGAACGGGU